AGCGAACGCUGGCGGCAGGCUUAACACAUGCAAGUCGAGCGGGCAUCCUUGUGGUGUCAGCGGCAGACGGGUGAGUAACGCGUGGGAACGUGCCCUUCGGUUCGGAAUACCUCAGGGAAACUUGAGCUAAUACCGGAUACGUGCGAGAGCAGAAAGGUUUAUCUGCCGAAGGAUCGGCCCGCGUCUGAUUAGCUAGUUGGUGAGGUUAUGGCUCACCAAGGCGACGAUCAGUAGCUGGUCUGAGAGGAUGAUCAGCCACACUGGGACUGAGACACGGCCCAGACUCCUACGGGAGGCAGCAGUGGGGAAUAUUGGACAAUGGGGGCAACCCUGAUCCAGCCAUGCCGCGUGAGUGAUGACGGCCUUAGGGUUGUAAAGCUCUUUUCUUCGGGACGAUAAUGACGGUACCGGAGGAAUAAGCCCCGGCUAACUUCGUG
rnacentral:rRNA from 1 species